rnacentral:tRNA from 1 species
UCCCUGAUGGUCCAGUGGUUAAGACUCUGUGCUUCCACUGCAGGGGGUAUGGGUUCGAUUCCUGGUUGGGGAA